rnacentral:rRNA from 1 species
UACGGAGGGUGCAAGCGUUAUCCGGAUUCACUGGGUUUAAAGGGUGUGUAGGCGGGCUGUUAAGUCAGUGGUGAAAUCUCCGGGCUCAACCCGGAAACUGCCAUUGAUACUAUCAGUCUUGAAUAUUGUUGAGGUGGGCGGAAUAUGUCUAUGUACGGUGAAAUGCAUAGAGAUGACAUAGAACACCGAUUGCGAAGGCAGCUUACUACAGGGACAUUGACACUGAGGCACGAAAGCGUGGGGAUCAAACAGG